ensembl:misc_RNA Metazoa_SRP Metazoan signal recognition particle RNA
ACCUGGCGGAGUGGCGCAUGCCUAUAGUCUCAGCUACUGGAGAGGCUGAGACAGGAGGAUCGCUUGAGUCCAGGAGUUCUAGACUGUAGUGCGCUAUGCCGAUCGGGUGACUGCACUAAGUUCGGUAUCAAUAUGGUGACCUUCUGGGAGCGGGAAACCACCAGGUUGCCUAAGGAGGGGUGAGCCAGCCCAGGUCGGUGGAAAUGGAGCAGGUCAAAACUUCUUUGCUGAUCAGUAGUGGAAUCGCUCCUGUGAAUAGCCACUGCACUCCAGUCAGCUUGGGCAAUAUAGGGAGACCCUGGGGUUU